GAUGCAGCAACGCCGCGUGAAGGAAGACGGUUUUCGGAUUGUAAACUUCUGUUCUUAGUGAAGAAUAAUGACGGUAGCUAAGGAGCAAGCCACGGCUAACUACGUGCCAGCAGCCGCGGUAAUACGUAGGUGGCAAGCGUUGUCCGGAAUUACUGGGUGUAAAGGGAGCGCAGGCGGGUGAUCAAGUCAGCUGUGAAAACUACGGGCUUAACCCGUAGACUGCAGUUGAAACUGUUCAUCUUGAGUGAAGUAGAGGUUGGCGGAAUUCCGAGUGUAGCGGUGAAAUGCGUAGAUAUUCGGAGGAACACCGGUGGCGAAGGCGGCCAACUGGGCUUUAACUGACGCUGAGGCUCGAAAGUGUGGGGAGCGAACAGGAUUAGAUACCCUGGUAGUCCACACUGCAAACGAUGAUAAGAGGUGUGGGGGGUCUGACCCCUUCCGUGCCGGAGGUAACGCAAUAAGCAAUCCACCUGGGGAGUAGGACCGCAAGGGUGAAACUCAAAGGAAUUGACGGGGACCCGCACAAGCAGUGGAUUAUGUGGUUUAAUUCGAAGCAACGCGAAGAACCUUACCAGCACUUGACAUCCAACUAACGAAAUAGAGAUAUAUUAGGUGCCCUUCGGGGAAAGUUGAGACAGGUGGUGCAUGGUUGUCGUCAGCUCGUGUCGUGAGAUGUUGGGUUAAGUCCCGCAACGAGCGCAACCCUCGCCAUUAGUUGCUACGCAAGAGCACUCUAAUGGGACCGCUACCGACAAGGUGGAGGAAGGUGGGGACGACGUCAAAUCAUCAUGCCCCUUAUGUGCUGGGCUACACACGUAAUACAAUGGCCAUCAACAGAGAGAAGCAAUACCGCGAGGUGGAGCAAAACUUCAAAAAUAGUCUCAGUUCGGACUGCAGGCUGCAACCCGCCUGCACGAAGUUGGAAUUGUUAGUAAUCGUGGAUCAGCAUGCCACGGU
rnacentral:rRNA from 1 species